CCUACGGGAGGCAGCAGUGAGGAAUAUUGGUCAAUGGCCGGAAGGCUGAACCAGCCAAGCCGCGUGAGGGAGGAAGGCGCAGAGCGUCGCAGACCUCUUUUGCCGGGGGACAAAAGGCCGGCCUCGUCCGGUCCUGAGGUUACCCGGAGAAAAAGCAUCGGCUAACUCCGUGCCAGCAGCCGCGGUAAUACGGAGGAUGCGAGCGUUAUCCGGAUUCAUGGGUUUUAAGGGGUGCGCAGGCGGGCCUUUGAUCCGGCGGGGAAAUCGCGGGGCUCAACCCCGCCGAGCCGUUGGAACUGGGGGCCUUGAGUGCGGCGGAGGCAUGCGGAAUGUGCGGUGUAGCGGUGAAAUGCAUAGAUAUCGCGCAGAACCCCGAUUGCGAAGGCAGCGUGCGGUGCCGAGACUGACGCUGAGGCACGAAAGCGCGGGGAUCGAACAGGAUUAGAUACCCGAGUAGUC
rnacentral:rRNA from 1 species